CACGUAGUUAGCCGUGGCUUCCUCGCCGGGUACCGUCAUUACACAAUGCUGUUUGCAUUGCCUACAUUCGUCCCCGGCAACAGAGCUUUACGAUCCGAAGACCUUCUUCACUCACGCGGCGUUGCUCCGUCAGGCUUUCGCCUAUUGCGGAAGAUUCCCCACUGCUGCCUCCCGUAGGAGUCUGGGCCGUGUCUCAGUCCCAAUGUGGCCGUUCAUCCUCUCAGACCGGCUACUGAUCGUUGCCUUGGUAGGCCCUUGCCCCACAACUAGCUAAUCAGACGCAGACCCAUCGCAAAGCGAUCGCUUACAAGUGAGGCCAUCUUUGCUGGAUUUCCAUGCGGAACUUCCAGAACAUUCGGUAUUAGCAGUCUUCGAACUGUUCGUCCCCAUCCUUUGCGGUCUAGGUUGUCUACGCGUUACUCACCCGUUUUGCCUACUCGAACGUUUUAAAAGCAAGUCUUUUAAUUGUCUCGUUCGACUUGCAUGUGUUAGCUACGCCGC
rnacentral:rRNA from 1 species